rnacentral:rRNA from 1 species
UACGGGGGGAGCAAGCGUUGUUCGGAUUUACUGGGCGUAAAGGGCGCGUAGGCGGCCACCGCAAGUCAGUUGUGAAAGCUCUGGGCUUAACCCAGAAAGGUCAACUGAUACUGCGGGGCUAGAGUGCAGAAGGGGCAACUGGAAUUCUCGGUGUAGCGGUGAAAUGCGUAGAUAUCGAGAGGAACACCGGUGGCGAAGGCGGCUACCUGGACGGCUAUUGACGCUGAGACGCGAAAGCGUGGGGAGCAAACAGG